GCAGUCGUAACAUGGAUNACGCGUAUAAGGCCGGGGAUUAGUGGCGAACGGGUGAGUAACACGUGGGCAAUCUGCCCUGCACUCUGGGACAAGCCCUGGAAACGGGGUCUAAUACCGGAUACGACGCGUUCCCGCAUGGGAUACGCGUGGAAAGCUCCGGCGGUGCAGGAUGAGCCCGCGGCCUAUCAGCUUGUUGGUGGGGUGAUGGCCUACCAAGGCGACGACGGGUAGCCGGCCUGAGAGGGCGACCGGCCACACUGGGACUGAGACACGGCCCAGACUCCUACGGGAGGCAGCAGUGGGGAAUAUUGCACAAUGGGCGCAAGCCUGAUGCAGCGACGCCGCGUGAGGGAUGACGGCCUUCGGGUUGUAAACCUCUUUCAGCAGGGAAGAAGCGCAAGUGACGGUACCUGCAGAAGAAGCGCCGGCUAACUACGUGCCAGCAGCCGCGGUAAUACGUAGGGCGCAAGCGUUGUCCGGAAUUAUUGGGCGUAAAGAGCUCGUAGGCGGCUUGUCGCGUCGGAUGUGAAAGCCCGGGGCUUAACCCCGGGUCUGCAUUCGAUACGGGCAGGCUAGAGUUCGGUAGGGGAGAUCGGAAUUCCUGGUGUAGCGGUGAAAUGCGCAGAUAUCAGGAGGAACACCGGUGGCGAAGGCGGAUCUCUGGGCCGAUACUGACGCUGAGGAGCGAAAGCGUGGGGAGCGAACAGGAUUAGAUACCCUGGUAGUCCACGCCGUAAACGUUGGGAACUAGGUGUGGGCGACAUUCCACGUUGUCCGUGCCGCAGCUAACGCAUUAAGUUCCCCGCCUGGGGAGUACNGCCGCAAGGCUAAAACUCAAGGAAUUGACGGGGGCCCGCACAAGCNGCGGAGCAUGUGGCUUAAUUCGACGCANC
rnacentral:rRNA from 1 species